rnacentral:ncRNA from 1 species
GUACGAUAAAGGCAAAGCCAUUGAAAGAUGGCGACGCAAAGCUAGAGGGGCUUAUCUGUGGACAGACUGCCAGCCAGCUACCGAA